rnacentral:misc_RNA from 1 species
CAGCCGCGUAAUUCCAGCUCCAAUAGCGUAUAUUAAAGUUGUUGCAGUUAAAAAGCUCGUAGUUGAAUUUCGGGACCAUCAUGUCGGUCGUGCCUCGGUACGUACUGGCAUUGUUGGUUUCUCCCUUCUGACGAACCAUGAUGUCAUUUAUUUGGUGUUGUGGGAAAUCAGGACUGUUACUUUGAAAAAAUUAGAGUGUUUAAAGCAGGCUCACGCUUGAAUACAUUAGCAUGGAAUAAUGAAAUAGGACGUUUGAUUCUAUUUUGUUGGUUUCUAGGAUCGACGUAAUGAUUAAUAGGGAUAGUUGGGGGCAUUAGUAUUCAAUUGUCAGAGGUGAAAUUCUUGGAUUUAUUGAAGACUAACUACUGCGAAAGCAUUUGUCAAGGAUGUUUUCAUUAAUCAAGAACGAAAGUUAGGGGAUCGAAGACGAUCAGAUACCGUCGUAGUCUUAACCAUAAACUAUGCCGACUAGGGAUCGGAUGAUGUUAAUUUUUUAAUGACUCAUUCGGCGCCUUACG